rnacentral:rRNA from 1 species
GGAUAACCCGGAGGAAUCCGGCCUAAUACCUCAUGUGGCCGAGGGGAGGCAUCUUCUUUCGGCCAAAGGAGGCACCUCCGGAGACGGAUGGGCAUGCGUGACAUUAGCUUGUUGGCGGGGUAACGGCCCACCAAGGCGACGAUGUCUAGGGGUUCUGAGAGGAAGGUCCCCCACACUGGUACUGAGACACGGACCAGACUCCUACGGGAGGCAGCAGUGAGGAAUAUUGGUCAAUGGGCGAGAGCCUGAACCAGCCAAGUCGCGUGAAGGAUGACGGCCCUACGGGUUGUAAACUUCUUUUGUCAGGGAGCAAUUGAGUCCACGUGUGGGCUUAGCGAGAGUACCUGAAGAAAAAGCAUCGGCUAACUCCGCGCCAGCAGCCGCGGUAAUACGGAGGAUGCGAGCGUUAUCCGGAUUUAUUGGGUUUAAAGGGUGCGUAGGCGGAAUAUCAAGUCAGCGGUAAAAAUUCGGGGCUCAACCCCGUCGUGCCGUUGAAACUGAUGUUCUUGAGUGGGCGAGAAGUAUGCGGAAUGCGUGGUGUAGCGGUGAAAUGCAUAGAUAUCACGCAGAACUCCGAUUGCGAAGGCAGCAUACCGGCGCCCAACUGACGCUGAAGCACGAAAGCGUGGGUAUCGAACAGGAUUAGAUACCCUGGUAGUCCACGCAGUAAACG